rnacentral:lncRNA from 1 species
UGGCAGAAGCUGCACUGGGAUCUGAACCAUUGAUGGCAGCCUCGUGGAAUGCACCCAAACCAGGAUCUCUCUCAACUUGGCUUAGUGAAAAUGAUAAUAAAUGGUCUCUUUCAUAAGUAUGGAACUGAGAUAACAUAGGGUUUUCAGGCUCUUGAAAGGUCCAGCCACUUGAAGUACCUGAUGGAAUGAAAUAGAAGCCACCCAUAUGGUCAGAUGAAGAGGCCAUUGGUCCAACAUGACCAUGACUAUGACUUCUAUGGCUGCCCAGCCUUAGGGAGCCAGAAACAAUAGGUGUCCGUAAUGCUGGCAAGG